rnacentral:rRNA from 1 species
GACGAACGCUGGCGGCGUGCCUAACACAUGCAAGUCGAACGGAGAUAUGCGAACGAGGCCUUCGGGCGGAGAUUGCAUAUUUUAGUGGCGGACGGGCGAGUAACGCGUGAGCAACCUGCCCUUCAGAGGGGGAUAACGGCUGGAAACGGCCGCUAAUACCGCAUGACAUAUACACAAGGCAUCUUGAGUAUAUCAAAGGAGGAAUCCGCUGAAGGAUGGGCUCGCGUCCGAUUAGCUGGUUGGUGAGGUAACGGCUCACCAAGGCGACGAUCGGUAGCCGAACUGAGAGGUUGAUCGGCCGCAUUGGGACUGAGACACGGCCCAGACUCCUACGGGAGGCAGCAGUGGGGGAUAUUGCACAAUGGAGGAAACUCUGAUGCAGCGACGCCGCGUGGGGGAAGAAGGUCUUCGGAUUGUAAACCUCAGUAGUCAGGGAAGAAGCAAGUGACGGUACCUGAAGAGUAAGCUACCGGCUAACUACGUGCC